rnacentral:rRNA from 1 species
UAACUGCCUUGGAUGGGAAUACAGCUGGAACAGCUGCUAAUACCGCAUAAUGCAGUUGGGUCGCAUGGCUCUGACUGCCAAAGAUUUAUCGCUCUGAGAUGGACUCGCGUCUGAUUAGCUAGUUGGUGGGGCAACGGCCCACCAAGGCGACGAUCAGUAGCCGGACUGAGAGGUUGGCCGGCCCACAUUGGGACUGAGACACGGCCCAGACUCCUACGGGAGGCAGCAG